CUUACUCAGUGUUUUGAUUGUCCUCUAAGUUGUCAGUUCUGACAAAGGAAAAAGGCAGCUGGAAAUGAGAGGAAACAAAAGCAGAUCCUGUCUUAGCUCACAGUCAUUAGAAUGAAAGGAAUGAAUCCUGCAAGGGAAAGCAGAGCUCUGCUCUUGCCUCACAGGCUGCUGAGAAAUUUUUACUCUCUUGAAUUCAUGUUUUCUGACAUAUCUAAGGGUUGAAAUCCAUAUAGGUAAGUCCAGAAAGCCAUAAACGUAUUAAAUCUUUCUUCUUCCUAACACAAAUAACAAUACUAGAAAACUCAGUUAAAAUCCAACUUGGUUGAGAAAAAAGAAAAAGGAGUCUCAUGGUGGC
rnacentral:lncRNA from 1 species